rnacentral:tRNA from 2 species
GGCUCAGUGGUCUAGAGGUAUGAUUCUCGCUUCGGGUGCGAGAGGUCCCGGGUUCAAUUCCCGGCUGAGCCC